rnacentral:rRNA from 1 species
UACGUAGGCAGCGAGCGUUUGUUCGGAGUUACUGGGCGUAAAGGGUGUGUAGGCGGUUCUUUAAGUUUGGUGUGAAAUCUCCCGGCUCAACCGGGAGGGUGCGCCGAUACUGAGGGACUCGAGUGCGGGGAGAGGAAAGGUGGAAUUCCUGGUGUGAGCGGUGAAAUGCGGUAGAUAUCAGGAGGAACACCAAUGGCGAAGGCAGCUCGCUGGGACGGUACUGACGCUGGAGACGCGAAAGCGUGGGGAGCAAACAGG